CCCUCCAUGGACUUCAUCCACCGUGGUAGAUCGACCACAAGCUGCAUCGACAUUGAGCGACAUCGAGCGUUCCUCUUCUUCGUGGGGCGUGCACCUUCUGGGGGUGUAGGCGUGCAGCACCUACUGCUAUGGAGGGCGGAUGGCGGGGUGCUUCUAUCAUCAUCAUCGAGCUCAGAUUCCUGCAUGUAUGGAUCAAGAUGUCAUCCCCUGUUUUAUUUCCUUCUAUUUCUGUUUAUAGAGUACAGCAAGGACACACCCACAUUCAGAAAGCACCAAUUAAACCUUGUGUAGAAAAUAACCAUUAUUGUAGGAGAAUUAUGAAGUAAUUUUUAUUUACAAACUUAUCUAGUAUUCUGAUAACGUAAUGGAACUUUUACCUUUAAUUAACCAAUAUAUAUAGCAGUACGCAUGGUUUAAGCCUUGAGCAUUAGUUCAGUUAUGCGUACAUUCUAUGAAGGUUUAUUGCUCCAAUUUGCCAUAUGGUGGAGAAACCAUAUAGUUGAGUUUGUCCUUAUCAGCUAUAAUAGCAAAAUUAUAUGGUCCUAUUUUAGCUCAAGUAGUCGGUUCUAUUUCAUGUCAAAUAGUAAGUUUUAUAAGCAAAACAAGAAAAGGGUCAGGUAUAGUAUACGAGGUUAGAUGGAAGAUUCUUAGAAUGUAGGCCAUAUUUCGUUUAAAAAAUAAGGCUAUGUUACUGAUAUUUACUUUCAGUUCUUAUCCAUCUGUCGAAGAUAAAUAUUGCGGGUGAGAUCGCCGCCUAAAUAUGAACAGUUCGGAACCUUUGAAGUUGUGCAAAGUUCUUCUGCUAGCAAAAUCUCGAGAUUUGGCAAUUCUCAUCAGUUGUUUCGAUUAUGCUGCCUUAUUCAAUUUUUUCGCCUUUCUGAUAUGAAAUCUCGCACCUCAUUGGCUUUCUUCUGAUACAGAAUGGCAUGUAUUUAUAUGUGUCUUUGAGAAAAAAAUUGCAUCAUCGUUGUUAUAUCAGUAUAUGCCACCAAAGAAAACAUAAGAUGCAGUUAAGAAUUAAAACAGAUAUUUUACAUUUUGUAUUGUGUUCUGUUAUCGAAGACUAAAAGUAUAAAUACCAACUACACUUCACUCAUUCCGUUGCUAACCAAGUAAGCAUCAUUAUAGAAGCUGGCAUGUUCAUUUCAAAAACAGAUAAAAGAGGAAAAGGUGAUACCAGAAGAUACAAGCAUGUAAGCAAUAGUUCUUGUGAUAAUAUUUACCAAUCAACAUUAUGGUUGAUUGCUUAAAUGUAUUUGCUUCUAAUGCAGCUGGAAGUGGGUUCUAAGUGUAUGGCAGAAGCAGCAAUGCAACCAGAAGCAAGGUGGGGUAAUAAACCUUGUACUCACUUAUCACGAUUGCACUUAAAAUGGUCGUUAUCUUCAUGAUAGCUCCAAGCUUUAUUCUAGAAGCAUAGUUUGGUUAGAUACUGUCAGCUUAUGUUGAUUCGGAACCUGAGUGUAGCAUGAUGAAAAAUCGGGAGUAGUAUGCUGAUUUUGCUUGGUAGAAACAUGACUUGUCCUCAUGGCACAAUAAUUGAUUGAUUUAUUCCAAGGCAUUCCUAGUAAAGAGUAUAGCAAAGCUUAAUCACCAAAUUGGCACACUGGCCAUCAAUGUUGAUUAUGAAGGUAGAUUUAUUUCAAUAUGAAAGAACAACCUUGCAUUAAUUGAGGCAUAAUAUGCAGCCUCUGAACUAUGGCAAAGUUCACGGUUUUUAUUUAUGCCUACACUAGAAAAUUACUUUACUGGUUAUACACCAUCAAACCAUAAUACAGUUAUAUCUUGCAGCAAUACUUAUAUCAGUAAUGACAUCACUCGGAAUUAAGUGAUGGCUAUAUGUCUCGUGACAGGUUUGACAAUGACCUCAAGAUCAGCAAUAUGCUCCUGAACUGAUACCUUAUGCAUGAUUCAUAAGUAACAUAUAUUGGUGUUAGCCAACACAGGUGGUCAAUUCUUUGCUCGAUGAACUUCUCGUGGAUACUUUGUUAUUUCUUUACAAUUUCACCCUUCUUGAUGUAAUCAGAUUGGUAUUGUAUAUGAGCCAAAGUUGAAAAUUGUUUUUAG
rnacentral:lncRNA from 1 species